CCGUCCAUAGCUCAGCUGGUAGAGCACCUGCCUUUUAAGCAGAGGGUCGCAGGUUCGAGUCCUGCUGGACGGA
rnacentral:tRNA from 1 species